UAUCAGGCUGGUGCAAAAGUAAUUGCGGAUUUUGCCAUUAAUGGCAAAUGGCAAAACCUGCAAUUACUUUUGCACCAG
rnacentral:miRNA from 1 species